CUGUGGUGUCCAUGUUGUUUGUGCAUGGGCUCCGGAAUUGAUCAAGGCCCCCAUUCAUGUCAUGGAGUGGUUCACUUCUCAGAUACCUUGUUGAUUUUCUGAUUCUACUGAACAUACCUUCGUCAUGUAGUUUUCUUGGGUAAUAUUAUUCUCAGUACUCAGUUGUGGUUUCUGUUUGUAGAUUUGGAUUCUUCAUCUCUCUCUCUUUUAUGUGUUUUCUUGUUGGAUAUUGAGUGGAGAGAGAGGAAAUUUUUAAGGUAUGAUUCAUGAGAUGAUACUUGUGCAGAUCUGAUAUAUUGAUUUUCCUGUGAUUUUGGACUGUUUGUGAAUCUGAGCUCGAAGAAUAUUUUUGAUGUUAUCUUUUUGUCUCCCAUAAUUUCUAGGAACUGGUGCUGAUUAUCAUCUGUGGAUAACAAUUAUUGGUGUCGAAAUGUAUCUGCAACUGAA